AACCCACCGGUUAGGCCAGGUCAUGACAGGGCUUGCUUUUCGGCUUCAGAAGUGCCAGGGCCAAUGCUGAAUAGCUGGUAGGCAGAUGAACCCUCAGCACUAAUAAGAAGGAGGACACCAGAACAUCACUUGUUGGUACCAGUGUCCUUAUGGUGGUAUGAGUUCCCCAAAAUUGUUGAUACCAGCAUCUAUAUCCUCAGGAGGAGUCCCAGUUGCCUCCAUUCUUUAUGGGAGGCUCUUUAAGAUCAACAGGAUUGUCGCUGCUGCUGCUGCUGCUGCUAAGUCGCUUCAGUUGUGUCCAACUCUGUGUGAUCUCAUAGACGGCAGCCUACCAGGCUUCCCCGUCCCUGGGAUUCUCCAGGCAAAGGAGAAGGAGGUGGCUGGGGAUGAGAUGAAUAGAUGGUAUCACUGACUCAAUGGACAUGAAUUUGAGCCAACUCUGGGAGACAGUGGAGGACAGAGGAGCCUGGUGUGCUGCAGUCCAUGGGCACAACUUAGCAACUGAACAACAACGACAGUAUCUUAUCACCUUGACAGCUUCAGCAAGAAUCCUGUCCAGUUGGUUUAACCAGAAUCCCCUUGUCUCUUAUGUCUCCUCCUCUUGAAUUAUCAUCCCAGCCCUUCACCCUGCC
ensembl:lncRNA